rnacentral:rRNA from 1 species
UACAGAGGUCUCAAGCGUUGUUCGGAAUCAUUGGGCGUAAAGGGUGCGUAGGCGGCGCGGUAAGUCGGGUGUGAAAUCUUGGAGCUUAACUCCGAAACUGCAUUCGAUACUGCCGUGCUUGAGGACUGGAGAGGAGACUGGAAUUUACGGUGUAGCGGUGAAAUGCGUAGAUAUCGUAAGGAAGACCAGUGGCGAAGGCGGGGCUCUGGACAGUUCCUGACGCUGAGGCACGAAGGCCAGGGGAGCAAACGGG